AUUUUAUUAGUAUAAUCAGUAUAUUUAACUUCCAAUUAAAAGGUUUGAAAAAAUAAAAUA
rnacentral:tRNA from 1 species